CAGCAGCCGCGGUAAUACGUAGGGUGCAAGCGUUAAUCGGAAUUACUGGGCGUAAAGCGUGCGCAGGCGGUCAUAUAAGACAGAUGUGAAAUCCCCGGGCUCAACCUGGGAACUGCAUUUGUGACUGUAUAGCUAGAGUACGGCAGAGGGGGAUGGAAUUCCGCGUGUAGCAGUGAAAUGCGUAGAUAUGCGGAGGAACACCGAUGGCGAAGGCAAUCCCCUGGGCCUGUACUGACGCUCAUGCACGAAAGCGUGGGGAGCAAACAGGAUUAGAUACCCCCGUAGUCCCUGUCUCUUAUAC
rnacentral:rRNA from 1 species